AUCACAGCCACAACACAGGCUUUGGCACUGAUAGAACUCUAUAAUGCACCCGAGGGGCGAUACAAGCAGGAUGUGUACUUGCUUCCUAAGAAAAUGGAUGAAUACGUUGCCAGCUUGCAUCUGCCAUCAUUUGAUGCCCACCUUACAGAGCUGACAGAUGACCAAGCAAAAUAUCUGGGACUCAACAAAAAUGGGCCAUUCAAACCUAAUUAUUACAGAUACUAAUGGACCAUACUACCAAGGACCAGUCCACCUGAACCACACACUCUAAAGAAAUAUUUUUUAAGAUAACUUUUAUUUUCUUCUUACUCCUUUCCUCUUGAUUUUUUUCCUAUAAUUUCAUUCUUGUUUUUUCAUCUCAUUAUCCAAGUUCUGCAGACCACACAGGAACUUGCUUCAUGGCUCUUUAGAUGAAAUAGAAGUUCAGGGUUCCUCACUCUAGUCACUAAAGAAGGAUUUUACUCUCCCAGCCCAGAAAGGUGAUUCUUUCUUUACCAUUUCUGGGGACUUUAGUCUUAAUUAGGUACCUUAUUAACAGGAAAUGCUAAGGUACCUUCUCUGUGGAACAAUCUGCAAUGUCUAAAUCGCCUUAAAAGAGCCCAUUUCUUAGCUGCUGAAAUCAGUGCUCUUUCACUUCUUCAGAGAAGCAGGGAUGGUACCUACCCGGCAGGUAGGUUAGAUGUGGGUGGUGCAUGUUAAUUUCCCUUAGAAGUUCCAAGCCCUGUUUCCUGCGUAAAGGUGGUAUGUCCAGUUCAGAGAUGUGUAUAAUGAGCAUGGCUUGUUAAGAUCAGGAGGCCCACUUGGAUUUAUAGUAUAGCCCUUCCUCCACUCCCACCAGACUUGCUCAUUUUUCGAGUUUUUAACUAGACUACACUCUAUUGAGUUUAAUUUUGUCCUCUAGGAUUUAUUUCUGUUGUCCAAAAAAAAAAAAAAAGAAAAGAAAAAUUAAGGAGAAUUUUUGGUGUUAAUGCUGAGGAAUUGCUUGAGUGGUUAGUUGUUACCAAUUUCUCUUUUGAACCUUUGGAGCUAAGGAUGCUGAGUCUAGAGAAAUGCUAGUCUCAAGCCCUGUUAAGUCCCUCUGUUUCUAGCCCGUAGUUCAUAGCAUCAGUGAACUGGAGCCACAACAGCAAAUUCUAUCAGCUGUGUACCAUACAGCUUGUGCUGAAGGCGAAUUUCUUGAGCCAUUACUCAGUAUAAAGCACUGAGUUCUAUCUUUAGGAUUUAUCUUUAAGAGCAAAUUUCUGGUCAGCUGUGCUUCUGCAACCUAAAAUAUUUAAAGGGAGGUAGGUGUGGGCAGGAGGAGGAAUGAUAAAUUGGGCCAGGGCAAGAAAAAUCUAGCUUCAUAUAAUUUGUCUGGGACUAUACACCCUAUAUAAUGUUAGUUUUACAGAAGUAAUAUGACUUUUGAUUGCUACAUACCACAAAGAGUUUAUGAACUGAGAUCAUAAAGGGCAACUGAUGUGUGAAGAAAGUAGUCAGUACAUCCUGGCUCAUGCUCUGAAAGAAUAUCCAGAGAGGCUCUCUCAAAGAUCAGGGAGAUGUAUUCCCAUGCCAUGCACCCUGCUUCCCAGCAUUUCUGCAUGGUCAAGUGAGCUUUAUGCUCAUGAGCUUUAAGUAUAUAAUUAUCCAGGAUUUUAAAUCCUCAACUUGUUCUAGCUUGUGAUCCCUCAAAGUUGGGUCAUACGUUAGUGCUAGAUACUAGAAAUUUUCACUUUUCCACUGAUCAGAGAGACA
rnacentral:lncRNA from 1 species